rfam:Salmo salar isolate Sally breed double haploid chromosome ssa09, whole genome shotgun sequence.
UUCAUUCACUACUGUAAGUUGCUCUGGAUAAGAGUGUCUGCUAAAUGACUAAAA